UACAGAGACCUCAAGCGUUAUCCGGAAUCAUUGGGCGUAAAGCGUACCGAUAGGUGGUUAUACAAGUCAGAAGUGAAAUCUCAAAGCUUAACUUUGAGACUGUCUUUUGAAACUGUAUAACUAGAGGGGCGAAGAGGAAGCUGGAACGAACGGUGUAGUAGUGAAAUGCGUUGAUAUCGUUCGGAACACCAAUAGCGUAGGCAAGCUUCUGGGCGCCUCCUGACACUGCUAGGACGAAAGCGUGGGUAGCGAAUGGG
rnacentral:rRNA from 1 species